AUUGAACGCUGGCGGCGUGCCUAACACAUGCAAGUCGAGCGGUAACAGGUGUAGCAAUACAUGCUGACGAGCGGCGAACGGGUGAGUAACGCUUCGGAAUCUACCUUAUGGGUGGGGAAUAACUAGCCGAAAGGUUAGCUAAUACCGCAUACGUCCUACGGGAGAAAGCAGGGGAUCGCAAGACCUUGCGCCAAAAGAUGAGCCGAAGUCGGAUUAGCUAGUUGGUAGGGUAACGGCCUACCAAGGCGACGAUCCGUAGCUGGUCUGAGAGGACGACCAGCCACACUGGGACUGAGACACGGCCCAG
rnacentral:rRNA from 1 species